rnacentral:rRNA from 1 species
UACGUAGGCAGCGAGCGUUGUUCGGAAUUACUGGGCGUAAAGAGUGUGUAGGCGGUGUUCCCAGUCUGUUGUGAAAUCUCCCGGCUUAACUGGGAGGGUGCAGCGGAAACUAGAAUGCUAGAGGGUGGGAGAGGUAAGCGGAAUUCCUGGUGUAGCGGUGAAAUGCGUAGAUAUCUGGAGGAACACCGGUGGCGAAGGCGGCAUCCUGGACCAUAACUGACGCUGAGGCGCGAAAGCUAGGGGAGCAAACAGG